UACGUAGGGUGCAAGCGUUGUCCGGAAUUAUUGGGCGUAAAGAGCUCGUAGGCGGUUUGUCGCGUCUGCUGUGAAAACCCGAGGCUCAACCUCGGGCCUGCAGUGGGUACGGGCAGACUAGAGUGCGGUAGGGGAGAUUGGAAUUCCUGGUGUAGCGGUGGAGUGCGCAGAUAUCAGGAGGAACACCGAUGGCGAAGGCAGAUCUCUGGGCCGUAACUGACGCUGAGGAGCGAAAGCGUGGGGAGCGAACAGG
rnacentral:rRNA from 1 species